AUAUUUUGAUCUGGUAUGAAUAAACUUCAAUACAAAAAUCUGUUCUUAUCAGUUUAAUAUCUGAUACGUCCUCUACCCGAGGACCAUAUAUUAAUCUGAUUUUUGGAACAGGGAGACGGAAGAGGGGCUUGCUCCGUCCGCUCCACGCAUCGACCCGGUAUUGCAGCGACUCCGGGAACGGUGCACAUUCC